rnacentral:rRNA from 1 species
GAUCAAUGGCUCAGGACGAACGCUGACAGAAUGCUUAACACAUGCAAGUCUACUUGAACUUCGGUUUGGGUGGCGGACGGGUGAGUAACGCGUAAAGAACUUGCCUUACAGUUAGGGACAACAUUUGGAAACGAAUGCUAAUACCUGAUAUUAUGAUUUUAGGGCAUCCUAAGAUUAUGAAAGCUAUAUGCGCUGUGAGAGAGCUUUGCGUCCCAUUAGCUAGUUGGAGAGGUAACGG